UACGUAGGGCGCAAGCGUUGUCCGGAAUUAUUGGGCGUAAAGAGCUCGUAGGCGGCUUGUCGCGUCGGUUGUGAAAGCCCGGGGCUUAACCCCGGGUCUGCAGUCGAUACGGGCAGGCUAGAGUUCGGUAGGGGAGAUCGGAAUUCCUGGUGUAGCGGUGAAAUGCGCAGAUAUCAGGAGGAACACCGGUGGCGAAGGCGGGAUCUCUGGGCCGUAACUGACGCUGAGGAGCGAAAGCAUGGGGAGCGAACAGG
rnacentral:rRNA from 1 species